ACAAAACAUCUCGGCACCCUCUCUCGUUUGACUUGUAACUAACCGGAGUAACCCGCAAGUCGCAGGAAGUUCACCGGAGAAGAAAGCUGUCGCAGAAAGGUUCGGCGGAACGAUCGUUUUCGGAUAAUCGCUCUCUUGCGUUCUCUUGGAUUUUCCAAUCUUUACUCGUGCGCUAUUACAAGAACUCGCAACGCAACCAAUGUUGAAUGAUCAAGAAAACAAGAAUCAAGCUAGGAUGGACAUUAGAAACCCACUUAGCAUUUUUGAUUAUUGUUGAAUUUCAUGUUUGGUUAUUUGGAACUAUGUACCUUUGAAUUGAAUUUAAUAAAAUGAUUUAAUCUAUAUUGUCA